rnacentral:rRNA from 1 species
AGUGAACGCUGGCGGCAGGCCUAAUACAUGCAAGUCGAACGGCAGCACAGUGGAGCUUGCUCCAUGGGUGGCGAGUGGCGGACGGGUGAGGAAUACAUGGGAAUCUGCCCAGUCGUGGGGGAUAACGUAGGGAAACUUACGCUAAUACCGCAUGCGCCCUUCGGGGGAAAGCCGGGGACCGUAAGGCCUGGCGCGAUUGGAUGAGCCCAUGUCGGAUUAGCUAGUUGGCGGGGUAACGGCCCACCAAGGCGACGAUCCGUAGCUGGUCUGAGAGGAUGAUCAGCCACACUGGAACUGAGACACGGUCCAGACUCCUACGGGAGGCAGCAGUAGGGAAUAUUGGACAAUGGGCGCAAGCCUGAUCCAGCCAUGCCGCGUGAGUGAAGAAGGCCCUCGGGUUGUAAAGCUCUUUUGUCCGGAAAGAAAAGCACUGGGUUAAUACCCCGGUGUCCUGACGGUACCGGAAGAAUAAGCACCGGCUAACUUCGUGCCAGCAGCC